rnacentral:rRNA from 1 species
CAGUCGCCGCGGGAAUACCGAGGAUGCAAGCGUUAUUCGGAAUGAUUGGGCGUAAAGCGUCUGUAGGUGGCUUUUCAAGUCCGCCGUCAAAUCCCAGGGCUCAACCCUGGACAGGCGGUGGAAACUACCAAGCUGGAGUACGGUAGGGGCAGAGGGAAUUUCCGGUGGAGCAGUGAAAUGCGUUGAGAUCGAAAAGAACACCAACGACGAAAGCACUCUGCUGGGUCGACACUGACACUGAGAGACGAAAGCUAGGGGAGCAAAUGGGAUUAGAUACCCCCGUAGUCCCUGUCUCUUAUAC